CAGGAAUUCAUUUUGCACUCAACUAAUGUAAGCCCAAAGUGCUUUCAAACAAUACUCCUCUAAUAGAGACAUUACAAAAGCCAUUAUUUUCCUGUUUAGAGUCAAACUAAGCAAAUACAAAGGAGUCAAGAAUACCAACUUGGCAAACACCAGCUUGUGCAGCAACACGAUAAAGAAACUGGAAGACACUUCUCUCCAAAUCCUCUUCCUUAAUGAGAGUUAAGAAAGGUAAAUAACUGGUUUGGACAGAACACCACCUGGCUGAGGAGAAGAGGUGCCCAGCCAGGAGCCUUGGAGGAACAGGGUGUCUCCAUAAAGAUCCUCCAGGAGCUCCAAUUCCACCACCAAGCACAGGG